GAGUGCGAUCAUACCAGCAAAAAAUCAAUGAAUCCCAUCAGAACUUUAAAUUUAAGCGUGCUUGGGCGAGAGUAGUACUAGGAUGGGUGACCCCUUGGGAAGUCCUCGUGUUGCAAUCC